UACAGAGGGGGCAAGCGUUAUUCGGAAUUAUUGGGCGUAAAGAGCUCGUAGGCGGCUUGUCGCGUCGUUCGUGAAAACCUGCGGCUCAACUGCAGGCUUGCGGUCGAUACGGGCAGGCUAGAGUUCGGUAGGGGAGAUCGGAAUUCCUGGUGUAGCGGUGAAAUGCGCAGAUAUCAGGAGGAACACCGGUGGCGAAGGCGGAUCUCUGGGCCGAUACUGACGCUGAGGAGCGAAAGCGUGGGGAGCGAACAGG
rnacentral:rRNA from 1 species